rnacentral:lncRNA from 1 species
CAGAGAGUGGAGAAGCCUAAUUACCGUGUCUAAACGGUCACACGGAAUGUGACUGCGCUCAUGACUCGUGACUGCCGGUGUGGUGGCAAUAUGGUCACCGUAACAGCCCUAGUACUUUCUCAUGUCAGUGUUGUAAAACUUUAACAGAAGGGAUUGACCCGUGUGAAAUAAUGAGUUGUGUUGGAAAGACAUUAUCAGCGAGUUUGCCAUGGAGGAAUCACAUGAGUCAAGAAGGCUGUCUUGGAGUGACCAUCAUUGGAGAGAUCAUAGUCAAAAAUGCUACGUUUGAUAAAGAAUCGGGAUGCGACCAGGCCGGACUUGACAAGAACUUGAAGAUCCACUAUCCACACAGCUGUAACAAGGACUACUGGUACCGAGACUCUGCAUGUUACGGCCCCAUCCUGAAGCGAGACAUCUUUGCUGCGUUACUGACUCUGGCAAGACUGGUGAUAGCAGCCAUGGGGGUCGUGGUGGUCUACAUGCCCUGGCAUAGACGACAAUCCCGCAGAGAAUGACCCUAACCCACAUUAUGGUGGCUGAGUGGGCUUGCAGUACGAGGCAGAGGGAGACUCCUCCAACUUCUCCCUACCAUGGAACACAGGCACAGGUGUCCAGGGAGAGGUUUGAGACCAUCUACCACGACUACAGUUCCUGGGGGCUGAUAGGGACACCAUACAAGACAUAGACACCUGAACCGACCUCCUCUUCAGGGCAACGUUUUGCAUCGAGUGACCCUGGCAGCCAAUCAAAGAAUGUCUAGCUUUCAUUUCAAUGACUGUUAGCAACCUGGACAAAGUGAAGAGACUAUAAAUUUUAUGAUCAGCAGACCGGAGAUAAAGUCACUUUGAGAUGUAGUGGAUCAUCCUUUAAAUCAGUGUUUCAUCGACCACUGGAAAAAAGACUGAAACAAGAUCAGUAUUGGACAGUCUCCUCUUUGGGAGCGAAGACUGAAUGAAGGUUAUAGGGUACAAUGCAAAAACUGUUUGACCAAUGAUAUGAUGCAACUUAUGCCAGUUUGACAAUUAGCAUUACUCAUUUUUAACGUUG